AGCGAACGCUGGCGGCAGGCCUAACACAUGCAAGUCGAACGAACUCUUCGGAGUUAGUGGCGGACGGGUGAGUAACACGUGGGAACGUGCCUUUUGGUUCGGAAUAACUCAGGGAAACUUGUGCUAAUACCGAAUGUGCCCUUCGGGGGAAAGAUUUAUCGCCAUUAGAGCGGCCCGCGUCUGAUUAGCUAGUUGGUGAGGUAACGGCUCACCAAGGCGACGAUCAGUAGCUGGUCUGAGAGGAUGACCAGCCACACUGGGACUGAGACACGGCCCAGACUCCUACGGGAGGCAGGAGUGGGGAAUCUUGCGCAAUGGGCGAAAGCCUGACGCAGCCAUGCCGCGUGAAUGAUGAAGGUCUUAGGAUUGUAAAAUUCUUUCAACGGGGACGAUAAUGACGGUACCCGGAGAAGAAGCCCCGGCUAACUUCGUG
rnacentral:rRNA from 1 species